rnacentral:RNase_P_RNA from 1 species
GGAGACAGCUAGGCAGUCGCCGCUUGCUUGCAAGGGGAGGAAAGUCCGGGCUCCAUAGGGUAAGGUGCCAGUUAACGGCUGGGCGGCGUGAGCCGACGGAAAGUGCAACAGAGAAGAGACCGCCAAAUGGGCAACCGUUUGGUAAGGGUGAAACGGUGCGGUAAGAG